rnacentral:lncRNA from 1 species
CUUUCCUACCCGCUUCUGUCCUGCUGCACCCACCCUGUCAGAGGCAGGGCGCUGCCCGCAGUGCCCCAGACUUCCCCUUCCUCCCCAGGAUCAACGGCCACCCCGGGAAGUCCACGCGCCUGGCGGGCUUGUGGAAGCUGGAAGAGUGCCACGCCAGCGGCUGCAUGAUGGACCUCUUCGUGCAGAUGGCCAUCAUCAUGGGCCUGAAGCAGACGCUCAGCAACUGCGUCGAGUACCUGGUCCCGUGAGUGCCGACCCCC